UCUAUUGAAAUGAUCAUAUAUGGUUUUUGCUCUUGGUUCUGUUACUAUGAUGUGUCAUGCAUAUUGAUUUGUGCAUGUUGAACCAUCCUUGCAUCCCUGGGAUGAAUCCCAUCUGAUCAUGGUGAAAGAUCUAUACUCACAAUAUUGUACAACCAUCACCACUAUCUAUUUCCAAAACUUUUUCAUCACACCAAACAGAAACUCUGUACC
rnacentral:lncRNA from 10 species